rnacentral:rRNA from 1 species
UACGGAGGGUGCAAGCGUUAUCCGGAUUCACUGGGUUUAAAGGGUGCGUAGGUGGGCAGGUAAGUCAGUGGUGAAAUCUCCGGGCUUAACCCGGAAACUGCCAUUGAUACUAUCUGUCUUGAAUACCGUGGAUGUGAGCGGAAUAUGUCAUGUAGCGGUGAAAUGCUUAGGUAUGUCAUAGAACACCGAUCGCGAAGGCAGUCCGCCAAACCAUUACUGACACUGAAACACGAAAGUGCGGGGAUCAAACAGG